CCUACGGGAGGCAGCAGUGGGGAAUCUUGCGCAAUGGGCGAAAGCCUGACGCAGCAACGCCGCGUGCGGGAAGAAGGCCUUAGGGUUGUAAACCGCUUUCAGUAGGAACGAAAAUGACGGUACCUGCAGAAGAAGGUGCGGCCAACUACGUGCCAGCAGCCGCGGUGACACGUAGGCACCAAGCGUUGUCCGGAUUUAUUGGGCGUAAAGAGCUCGUAGGCGGUUCAGUAAGUCGGGUGUGAAAACUCUGGGCUUAACCCAGAGCCGCCACUCGAUACUGCUGUGACUUGAGUUCGGUAGGGGAGCAGGGAAUUCCUAGUGUAGCGGUGAAAUGCGCAGAUAUUAGGAGGAACACCGGUGGCGAAGGCGCUGCUCUGGGCCGAUACUGACGCUGAGGAGCGAAAGCGUGGGUAGCAAACAGGAUUAGAUACCCUGGUAGUCCACGCCGUAAACGUUGGGCACUAGGUGUGGGUUCCAACCAACGGAAUCCGCGCCGUCGCUAACGCAUUAAGUGCCCGCCUGGGGAGUACGGCGGCAACGCUAAACUUAAAGGAAUUGACGG
rnacentral:rRNA from 1 species